rnacentral:misc_RNA from 1 species
CCGAGUUUUCAACUCCCCAACCCGAAUGUGAACCUACCAAACGUUGCUUCGGCGGACACGCCCCGGCGUCCGGACGGCCACGCGCCGGCCGCGGCCCGGGUCCAGGCGGCCGCCGGAGACCCAAAACCCUCUGUAUCUUGCAAGAGUCUUCUGAAUCCGCCGCGAGGCAAAACAAACGAAUCA